GAGCACGUAGGUGGGUUUGUAAGUCAGAUGUGAAAGCCUUCUGUUCAACGGAAGAAUUGCAUCUGAAACUGCGAGUCUUGAGUGUAGGAGGGGAGAAUGGAACUUCUGGUGGAGCGGUGAAAUGCGUAGAUAUCAGAAGGAACUCCGGCGGCGAAAGCGAUUCUCUGGCCUAUUACUGACACUCAGUGUGCGAAAGCUAGGGGAGCAAACGGGAUUAGACACCCCGGUAGUCCUAGCCGUAAACGAUGGGCACUAAGUAGAGGGGUUUU
rnacentral:rRNA from 1 species